AUGGCCGACUGCUGGAGGAGCGUCAUCAGGACGCCGCGCCUCAUGGUCUUCCUGGGGGGGUCGCUGUCACUGUGGACCCCCGCCAUUUUAGCAGCUAGGAGACACGACAAGGCGCUUCGGUCAGAGACUAAAUACACACAACCGCCAUCACCUGCACUCGGCCUCUGCGUCGGCCUUGGCCGUGGUGUACAGGCCUCUCAGCUUGGUCCGGUAGUACGGGGACGCUGGGGGACACAAGAGGGACGAGACUAAGGCUCCACCAGGACUCCUGAUGGAGCCUUCGUCUCGUGGGUGGAGACCCCAGAGAGGGUUACACACUGACUUUUGUUCUCCGUUUGCAUCCUCUCGUGCGUCUUCUGGAUGUUGAGCAGGUUGUGUUCGCUGCGUGACCUCUCCUCCUGAGAGACAAACACACGUUCACACACUUCGUCCACUUCGACGAGCGGGCGCGUGACGUCACAGACUCACCUGGGUCUGCUUGAUGAGCUGGUGGAGCUCCGUCAGCAGCUCGGCGAUCUUGGUGUCCGCUGACAUGUCGGUACCUUCGGAUUUGAAAGGUCAUUCAUGGUGAUUCACGUGUUGCUGUUUGGUGUUCAGAUUGGAGCAGAACCACAUCUAGAAACCGCUCAUUUUAAAGACGCGGGGCUCGGCCUCUCACUGAGAGAUGACGGGCGGCAGACCGGAGCUAAAGAUUAUUAGUAUUAACACUGCAUAAGACUGAAUUGCCGAAUAAUAUCUUUGAUCACACCUGUUUGUUUUAUGUGCUUUGAGUUACAAUCAUUUCUGAAUUGACAGAUUUCUGAAUGGAAUUCUAUUUCAUAAACUAUUUGUGUGUAACGUGGCUCGUUUUGAGUUUAAAUCAACAAAUAUGGCAUUCGGUGUUUAUAUUGUGGGAAAUGCAAAACUUAAAUAAAGCAGAUAAAAUGCUCAA